GACGAACGCUGGCGGCGUGCUUAACACAUGCAAGUCGAACGGGAAGGCCCUGCUUUUGUGGGGUGCUCGAGUGGCGAACGGGGGAGUAACACGUGAGUAACCUGCCCUUGACUUUGGGAUAACUUCAGGAAACUGGGGCUAAUACCGGAUAGGAGCUCCUGCUGCAGGGUGGGGGUUGGAAAGUUUCGGCGGUUGGGGAUGGACUCGCGGCUUAUCAGCUUGUUGGUGGGGUAGUGGCUUACCAAGGCUUUGACGGGUAGCCGGCCUGAGAGGGUGACCGGACACAUUGGGACUGAGAUACGGCCCAGACUCCUACGGGAGGCAGCAGUGGGGAAUAUUGCACAAUGGGCGGAAGCCUGAUGCAGCCCCGCCGCGUGCGGGAUGACGGCCUUCGGGUUGUAAACCGCUUUCGCCUGUGACGAAGCGUGAGUGACGGUAAUGGGUAAAGAAGCACCGGCUAACUACGUG
rnacentral:rRNA from 1 species